GCCCUGGCUUCGGCAGCACAUAUACUUAAGUGGAAUGAUACAGAGAUUACCAUGGCUCCUGCUCAAGGAUGACAUGCAAAUUUGUGAAGUGUUCCAUAUUUAA